AGUGAACGCUGGCGGUAGGCCUAACACAUGCAAGUCGAACGGCAGCACAGUAAGAGCUUGCUCUUACGGGUGGCGAGUGGCGGACGGGUGAGGAAUACAUCGGAAUCUACUUUUUCGUGGGGGAUAACGUAGGGAAACUUACGCUAAUACCGCAUACGACCUACGGGUGAAAGCAGGGGAUCUUCGGACCUUGCGCGAUUGAAUGAGCCGAUGUCGGAUUAGCUAGUUGGCGGGGUAAAGGCCCACCAAGGCGACGAUCCGUAGCUGGUCUGAGGGGAUGAUCAGCCACACUGGAACUGAGACACGGUCCAGACUCCUACGGGAGGCAGCAGUGGGGAAUAUUGGACAAAGGGCGCAAGCCUGAUCCAGCCAUACCGCGUGGGUGAAGAAGGCCUUCGGGUUGUAAAGCCCUUUUGUUGGGAAAGAAAAGCAGCAGGUUAAUACCCCGCCGUUCUGACGGUACCCAAAGAAUAAGCACCGGCUAACUUCGUG
rnacentral:rRNA from 1 species